GACGAACGCUGGCGGCGUGCUUAACACAUGCAAGUCGAACGGAAAGGCCCUGCUUUUGUGGGGUGCUCGAGUGGCGAACGGGUGAGUAACACGUGAGUAACCUGCCCUUGACUUUGGGAUAACUUCAGGAAACUGGGGCUAAUACCGGAUAGGAGCUCCUGCUGCAUGGUGGGGGUUGGAAAGUUUCGGCGGGGGGGGAUGGACGCGCGGCUUAUCAGCUUGUUGGUGGGGUAGUGGCUUACCAAGGCUGUGACGGGUAGCAGGCCUGAGAGGGUGACCGGACACAUUGGGACUGGGAUACGGCCCAGAGUGCGACGGGAGGCAGCAGUGGGGAAUAUUGCACAAUGGGCGGCAGCGUGAGGCAGCAACGCCGCGUGCGGGAUGACGGCCUUCGGGUUGUAAACCGCUUUCGCCUGUGACGAAGCGUGAGUGUCGGUAAUGGGUAAAGAAGCACCGGCUAACUACGUG
rnacentral:rRNA from 1 species